AUAUAUUCACACACAACAGCAUACACACACACACACACCCAUAUCAGUGUGUAUUUAAACGUGCAUGUAUAUGUGUGUGUGAACAUAGAACAGUUUAUUCACAAAGCUAACAUUUUAACUCGAUUGUCACAAGUGGACUGUCACAAUAUUACUGCCAUGUCGUUGUUUAAUUGUUGUCGGAAAAAAGAGCCGGAAGUCGCUCCAUUGCCUCCAAUUGUGAAGAGAAACCAUUCCUACUGCGAAGUUGAUAUCAGUAAAAUGGAGAUUGACCCACACAAGAACAAUGUGGAAGUGAAGGAUGACGUAAGUAAAGACCAAGAGAGGAGUAAGAAUCCAGUCCAUAGGAUCCAAUAGUAAAGGGAGGCGGUCAACACACAUUGCAGAGGUGGCAGUGAGCUGUGGUCACUUGACCAACAUCACCAACAUCAUCAACAUUUGGCACCAUGUAAACUCAUCGGAUAUCAUUGUAUUGUUAUAGAGAAAGUCAUUGCCACACACACACACACAGCAAAAUAUGUCAUCACUUUUACCAGGUUUUUCAAAAGAAACUGUUACAGUGGAAGAGAGGUGAUGUUGGCAGGCCAGGAAGUAUGCUGUCAACAAACUUGUACAAAUUUCUCCAAGAAAUUGAUCAUCACCAUCAUCAGUACCAUGGUUGACUGAUGCUGGGGUAUGAGAGGUAUGGAAUCUGUGCGUAGAAGUGAUGCUGUGGAUGGUGAGACAUUUUCAUCUUGGAAUUUUGAUUAAUAGAAAAAAAAAAAUAGAAAAAAAAAUAAAUAAAAGAAUUAAACUGCUGUGUCACA
rnacentral:lncRNA from 1 species